UGCAUCGGCUGGGAAUUGAACCCGGGCCGCUCACAUGGCAGGCGAGCAUUCUACCACUGAACCACCGAUGC